rnacentral:lncRNA from 1 species
UAGCGAAACUCGGGUGGAUUUUUUCGCAACGAACGCAUUCAAUCUUCCUAAAUAUGCACUAGAACAUGUUUGGGAGUGUUUUUGGGCAUUCGGUUCCGGCACGAAAAAUGAUGCAAAACGGGUGCAUUUCAGCACCCGAAUGCACUAUUGCCGGGUAGCGAAACUCGGGUGGAUUUUUUCGCAACGAACGCAUGCAAUCUUCCUAAAUAUGCACUAGAACAUGUUUGGGAGUGUUUUUGGCAUUCGGUUCCGGCACGAAAAACGAUGCAAAACGGGUGCAUUUCGGCACCCGAAUGCACUAUUGCCGGAGAGCGAAACUCGGGUGGAUUUUUUCGCAACGAACGCAUGCAAUCUUCCUAAAUAUGCACUAGAACAUGUUUGGGAGUGUUUUUGGCCAUUCGGUUCCGGCACGAAAAAUGAUGCAAAACGGGUGCAUUUCGGCACCCGAAUGCACUAUUGCUGGGUAGCGAAACUCGGGUGGAUUUUUUUGCAACGAACGCAUGCAAUCUUCCUAAAUAUGCACUAGAACAUGUUUGGGAGUGUUUUUGGGCAUUCGGUUGCGGCACGAAAAACGAUGCAAAACGGGUGCAUUUCGGCACCCGAAUGCACUAUUGCCGGGUAUCGAAACUCGGGUGGAUUUUUUCGCAACGAACGCAUGCAAUCUUCCUAAACAUGCACUAGAACAUGUUUGGGAGUGUUUUAAGCAUUCGGUUCCGGCACGAAAAACGAUGCAAAACGGGUGCAUUUUGGCAUCCGAAUGCACUAUUGCCGGAGAGCGAAACUCGGGUGGAUUUUUUUGCAACGAACACAUGCAAUCUUCCUAAAUAUGCACUAGAACAUGUUUGGGAGUGUUUUUGGCCAUUCGGUUGCGGCACGAAAAAUGAUGCAAAACGGGUGCAUUUCGGCACCCGAAUGCACUAUUGCCGGGUAGCGAAACUCGGGUGGAUUUUUUCGCAACGAACGCAUGCAAUCUUCCUAAAUAUGCACUAGAACAUGUUUGGGAGUGUUUUUGGGCAUUCGGUUCCGGCACGAAAAACGAUGCAAAACGGGUGCAUUUCGGCACCCGAAUGCACUAUUGCCGGAGAGCGAAACUCGGGUGGAUUUUUUCGCAACGAACGCAUGCAAUCUUCCUAAAUAUGCACUAGAACAUGUUUGGGAGUGUUUUUGGCCAUUCGGUUGCGGCACGAAAAAUGAUGCAAAACGGGUGCAUUUCGGCACCCAAAUGCACUAUUGCCGGGUAGCGAAACUCGGGUGGAUUUUUUCGCAACGAACGCAUGCAAUCUUCCUAAAUAUGCACUAGAACAUGUUUGGGAGUGUUUUUGGGCAUUCGGUUCCGGCACGAAAAAUGAUGCAAAACGGGUGCAUUUCGGCACCCGAAUGCACUAUUGCCGGAGAGCGAAACUCGGGUGGAUUUUUUCGCAACGAACGCAUGCAAUCUUCCUAAAUAUGCACUAGAACAUGUUUGGGAGUGUUUUUGGCCAUUCGGUUGCGGCACGAAAAAUGAUGCAAAACGGGUGCAUUUCGGCACCCGAAUGCACUAUUGCCGGGUAGCGAAACUCGGGUGGAUUUUUUCGCAACGAACGCAUGCAAUCUUCCUAAAUAUGCACUAGAACAUGUUUGGGAGUGUUUUUGGCAUUCGGUUCUGCACGAAAAAUGAUGCAAAACGGGUGCAUUUCGGCACCCGAAUGCACUAUUGCCGGGUAGCGAAACUCGGGUGGAUUUUUUCGCAACGAACGCAUGCAAUCUUCCUAAAUAUGCACUAGAACAUGUUUGGGAGUGUUUUUGGGCAUUCGGUUCCGGCACGAAAAACGAUGCAAAACGGGUGCAUUUCGGCACCCGAAUGCACUAUUGCCGGAGAGCGAAACUCGGGUGGAUUUUUUCGCAACGAACGCAUUCAAUCUUCCUAAAUAUGCACAAGAACAUGUUUGGGAGUGUUUUUGGGCAUUCGGUUCCGGCACGAAAAAUGAUGCAAAACGGGUGCAUUUCAGCACCCGAAUGCACUAUUGCCGGGUAGCGAAACUCGGCUGGAUUUUUUCGCAACGAACGCAUGCAAUCUUCCUAAAUAUGCACUAGAACAUGUUUGGGAGUGUUUUUGGGCAUUCAGUUCCGGCACGAAAAACGAUGCAAAACGGGUGCAUUUCGGCACCCGAAUGCACUAUUGCCGGAGAGCGAAACUCGGGUGGAUUUUUUCGCAACGAACGCAUGCAAUCUUCCUAAAUAUGCACUAGAACAUGUUUGGGAGUGUUUUUGGGCAUUCGGUUCCGGCACGAAAAACGAUGCAAAACGGGUGCAUUUCGGCACCCGAAUGCACUAUUGCCGGAGAGCGAAACUCGGGUGGAUUUUUUCGCAACGAACGCAUGCAAUCUUCCUAAAUAUGCACUAGAACAUGUUUGGGAGUGUUUUUGGGCAUUCGGUUGCGGCACGAAAAAUGAUGCAAAACGGGUGCAUUUCGGCACCCGAAUGCACUAUUGCCGGGUAGCGAAACUCGGGUGGAUUUUUUCGCAACGAACGCAUGCAAUCUUCCUAAAUAUGCACUAGAACAUGUUUGGGAGUGUUUUUGGGCAUUCGGUUCCGGCACGAAAAACGAUGCAAAACGGGUGCAUUUCGGCACCCGAAUGCACUAUUGCCGGAGUAGCGAAACUCGGGUGGAUUUUUUCGCAACGAACGCAUGCAAUCUUCCUAAAUAUGCACUAGAACAUGUUUGGGAGUGUUUUUGGCCAUUCGGUUCCGGCACGAAAAAUGAUGCAAAACGGGUGCAUUUCGGCACCCGAAUGCACUAUUGCCGGGUAGCGAAACUCGGGUGGAUUUUUUCGCAACGAACGCAUGCAAUCUUCCUAAAUAUGCACUAGAACAUGUUUGGGAGUGUUUUUGGGCAUUCGGUUCCGGCACGAAAAAUGAUGCAAAACGGGUGCAUUUCGGCACCCGAAUGCACUAUUGCCGGGUAGCGAAACUCGGGUGGAUUUUUUCGCAACGAACGCAUGCAAUCUUCCUAAAUAUGCACUAGAACAUGUUUGGGAGUGUUUUUGGGCAUUCGGUUCCGGCACGAAAAACGAUGCAAAACGGGUGCAUUUCGGCACCCGAAUGCACUAUUGCCGGAGAGCGAAACUCGGGUGGAUUUUUUCGCAACGAACGCAUGCAAUCUUCCUAAAUAUGCACUAGAACAUGUUUGGGAGUGUUUUUGGGCAUUCGGUUCCGGCACGAAAAAUGAUGCAAAACGGGUGCAUUUCGGCACCCGAAUGCACUAUUGCCGGGUAGCGAAACUCGGGUGGAUUUUUUCGCAACGAACGCAUGCAAUCUUCCUAAAUAUGCACUAGAACAUGUUUGGGAGUGUUUUUGGGCAUUCGGUUCCGGCACGAAAAACUGAUGCAAAACGGGUGCAUUUCGGCACCCGAAUGCACUAUUGCCGGGAGAGCGAAACUCGGGUGGAUUUUUUCGCAACGAACGCAUGCAAUCUUCCUAAAUAUGCACUAGAACAUGUUUGGGAGUGUUUUUGGGCAUUCGGUUCCGGCACGAAAAACGAUGCAAAACGGGUGCAUUUCGGCACCCGAAUGCACUAUUGCCGGAGAGCGAAACUCGGGUGGAUUUUUUCGCAACGAACGCAUGCAAUCUUCCUAAAUAUGCACUAGAACAUGUUUGGGAGUGUUUUUGGCCAUUCGGUUGCGGCACGAAAAAUGAUGCAAAACGGGUGCAUUUCGGCACCCGAAUGCACUAUUGCCGGGUAGCGAAACUCGGGUGGAUUUUUUCGCAACGAACGCAUGCAAUCUUCCUAAAUAUGCACUAGAACAUGUUUGGGAGUGUUUUUGGGCAUUCGGUUCCGGCACGAAAAACGAUGCAAAACGGGUGCAUUUCGGCACCCGAAUGCACUAUUGCCGGAGAGCGAAACUCGGGUGGAUUUUUUCGCAACAAACGCAUGCAAUCUUCCUAAAUAUGCACUAGAACAUGUUUGGGAGUGUUUUUGGCCAUUCGGUUGCGGCACGAAAAAUGAUGCAAAACGGGUGCAUUUCGGCACCCAAAUGCACUAUUGCCGGGUAGCGAAACUCGGGUGGAUUUUUUCGCAACGAACGCAUGCAAUCUUCCUAAAUAUGCACUAGAACAUGUUUGAGAGUGUUUUUGGGCAUUCGGUUCCGGCACGAAAAAUGAUGCAAAACGGGUGCAUUUCGGCACCCGAAUGCACUAUUGCCGGAGAGCGAAACUCGGGUGGAUUUUUUCGCAACGAACGCAUGCAAUCUUCCUAAAUAUGCACUAGAACAUGUUUGGGAGUGUUUUUGGCCAUUCGGUUGCGGCACGAAAAAUGAUGCAAAACGGGUGCAUUUCGGCACCCGAAUGCACUAUUGCCGGGUAGCGAAACUCGGGUGGAUUUUUUCGCAACGAACGCAUGCAAUCUUCCUAAAUAUGCACUAGAACAUGUUUGGGAGUGUUUUUGGCCAUUCGGUUCCGGCACGAAAAAUGAUGCAAAACGGGUGCAUUUCGGCACCCGAAUGCACUAUUGCCUGAGAGCGAAACUCGGGUGGAUUUUUUCGCAACGAACGCAUUCAAUCUUCCUAAAUAUGCACAAGAACAUGUUUGGGAGUGUUUUUGGGCAUUCGGUUCCGGCACGAAAAAUGAUGCAAAACGGGUGCAUUUCAGCACCCGAAUGCACUAUUGCCGGGUAGCGAAACUCGGGUGGAUUUUUUCGCAACGAACGCAUGCAAUCUUCCUAAAUAUGCACUAGAACAUGUUUGGGAGUGUUUUUGGGCAUUCAGUUCCGGCACGAAAAACGAUGCAAAACGGGUGCAUUUCGGCACCCGAAUGCACUAUUGCCGGAGAGCGAAACUCGGGUGGAUUUUUUCGCAACGAACGCAUGCAAUCUUCCUAAAUAUGCACUAGAACAUGUUUGGGAGUGUUUUUGGGCAUUCGGUUCCGGCACGAAAAACGAUGCAAAACGGGUGCAUUUCGGCACCCGAAUGCACUAUUGCCGGAGAGCGAAACUCGGGUGGAUUUUUUCGCAACGAACGCAUGCAAUCUUCCUAAAUAUGCACUAGAACAUGUUUGGGAGUGUUUUUGGCCAUUCGGUUCCGGCACGAAAAAUGAUGCAAAACGGGUGCAUUUCGGCACCCGAAUGCACUAUUGCCGGGGUAGCGAAACUCGGGUGGAUUUUUUCGCAACGAACGCAUGCAAUCUUCCUAAAUAUGCACUAGAACAUGUUUGGGAGUGUUUUUGGGCAUUCGGUUCCGGCACGAAAAACGAUGCAAAACGGGUGCAUUUCGGCACCCGAAUGCACUAUUGCCGGAGAGCGAAACUCGGGUGGAUUUUUUCGCAACAAACGCAUGCAAUCUUCCUAAAUAUGCACUAGAACAUGUUUGGGAGUGUUUUUGGCCAUUCGGUUGCGGCACGAAAAAUGAUGCAAAACGGGUGCAUUUCGGCACCCGAAUGCACUAUUGCCGGGUAGCGAAACUCGGGUGGAUUUUUUCGCAACGAACGCAUGCAAUCUUCCUAAAUAUGCACUAGAACAUGUUUGGGAGUGUUUUUGGGCAUUCGGUUCCGGCACGAAAAAUGAUGCAAAACGGGUGCAUUUCGGCACCCGAAUGCACUAUUGCCGGAGAGCGAAACUCGGGUGGAUUUUUUCGCAACGAACGCAUGCAAUCUUCCUAAAUAUGCACUAGAACAUGUUUGGGAGUGUUUUUGGCCAUUCGGUUGCGGCACGAAAAAUGAUGCAAAACGGGUGCAUUUCGGCACCCGAAUGCACUAUUGCCGGGUAGCGAAACUCGGGUGGAUUUUUUCGCAACGAACGCAUGCAAUCUUCCUAAAUAUGCACUAGAACAUGUUUGGGAGUGUUUUUGGCCAUUCGGUUCUUGCACGAAAAAUGAUGCAAAACGGGUGCAUUUCGGCACCCGAAUGCACUAUUGCCGGGUAGCGAAACUCGGGUGGAUUUUUUCGCAACGAACGCAUGCAAUCUUCCUAAAUAUGCACUAGAACAUGUUUGGGAGUGUUUUUGGCCAUUCGGUUCUUGCACGAAAAAUGAUGCAAAACGGGUGCAUUUCGGCACCCGAAUGCACUAUUGCCGGGUAGCGAAACUCGGGUGGAUUUUUUCGCAACGAACGCAUGCAAUCUUCCUAAAUAUGCACUAGAAGAUGUUUGGGAGUGUUUUUGGGCAUUCGGUUCCGGCACGAAAAACGAUGCAAAACGUGAUGAGGACACCACGAGUACAUCUACACCAGCAGCACCUCAGGCGCCUCCAGUUGCUCCUCCACCUCAGGCGCCUACAGUUGCUCAUCCAGUUGGGCCAAUCACUCGAGCCCGUGCGAGAGAAUUAAACUUCAUCAUGCUGUUAAGGAACGAAGGCCCAUCGGAAUAAGAAGAUGGCCCAACAGGGCAGCCCAGGUGGGGCGCCUAGGGUUGGGCGCCGUGACCCCUUCGGACUCCAGGGGCUGCGCCCCCUUUAUUUAGUCCGAGUCCUUUUUGUUUACGACUUGAGUUUUGUUUUACAUCUAGCUUUAGCUACUCUUGAACACGCGCAAAUACGCGCUGUCCUUGUGAUUCAGAACUCCACCUUCGAGUGAUAUUUAGAUUGCUCGCCUCUUGUUCUUGUUCGUUCUUCGAUUGCGGACAGGAAUCGAUCUUCGUGAUCAGGCUGAUCUCGCACCGGCGAGGUUGGUAACCAUCGGGAGUUGGUUCAGCGAUUGCAUUGGCGCUUCGGGUUCGCUCGUCGUAGUCGGAUCGUGAGGGUCUACUUCCACCAAGUCGAAUUUAUCUCCACUCACCGAAAGAUCGGGCACUCCAACUCUAUCAAGUGGUAUCAGCUUUCCAGGUUGAUCGGUGAGUUUUACCGAGUGUUUUUUCCCUUCCUACAGUCCACAAAAACCAAAACAAAUUUUUUUCAGGUUAGAUCCUUUGUCCCAGCAACCGUUUAGCCUCGCACAUUCUUUCAAUAAGUGUCUUUGUUGACUUUGUGUGCCUACUCGUUCAAUUGUUGCUGGUUACUUGUGUUUAAUCUCUUGUUUCUCGUUUUUCAUCUAACCCUAGUUUUCGCCGCCGCCACCGUUCCGCUGCUCGCCAACCCUAUCAGCCGCGCCCACCGCAACUCCCCCCACGACAACCGCGCCGCACCGUUCCACUACUCCGAUCGCCCCUCCCCUGUCAAAAAAAAAAAGAUCGAAAGCAAUCAGAAAAAAAAAAGGAAAGUGCAAAAAAAAGGAAAGAAGCAAAAAAAAAAAAAAGACGAAGAAGAAUCCAACAGGGAGAAGGAAGGUGAUUCGGAUUUGUUUCGUUGGAACCUCCCUUUGCGCGCGCCGUGACUCCUCCUGGGUCACGACUCUCUGGGGUAAAUUUCCCCCCCCCCCCCCCACGCAUUCCGUGCCAGCCUUUCAAAUCCAUAUCUCUCUUUCUUGGUCCUUUAUUAUUCUGAGGUCCGCCUUACUCUAGAGAGAGAGAGAGAGAUAGAGUAUCUUUUUUUUACCGGAAUACCCCUGUACUUUCGGAAAAAGUGUGUGCCGCAAUUUGAUAUUUGAGAUCCUCUGUGUUCAUAUUAUCAGUUUUGGGGCACCCUCUGUGGAAAAAAAAAAAAAAAAAAACAGAAAUAAAAAAAAAAAAAGAGGUGCGCCCUCUCCACCUUGCCUCUGUUCUUUCGAUUUUUCCUUGUUACCAGCAACUCUUGUUACGUGUUUGGCACUAUCUUUCAACUUUGCAUUAUUGUUUGAUUGUGCUAAUCCUUCAUUUGAGUGCAGCCUUCCCAGAACUCCACAUAGUUCUACGACGAGCAUAUUUUGUUUCUCCAGGCAAUCGCUCCUCCAAUCUUUCGUGAGUUCCACCGGUUGGUUGCAGUUCGCCCCUGUGUGCGUGGUAAGAACGGAUAAGAAUUUGAUAACAGCACUAGUGUGAGCGCCUUGUGAGCUGUUACACCCCUAUUUUGUCGUCGCUUGUGUUCUUGUCUUUGCGCUAACCAUGGCAGAUGAUGUCGACGCGGGGGCUGACCAGCUGCAGGGCAUACGGGUGCAAGUUGAAGGGCUUGUCACCGACAUUCAGACGAUUCAUGAACGGCUGGACUCGACGAUCUCCUCAACGACCGAGCGGUGUGAUCAGCUCGACCUUGCACAGACGGCCGCUAAGGCCACACUCGACUCAGUUGUGGCAAGACUCGAUGCAUUGCACACUACAGUCGCAGAGUUGCAGCAGGGUUAUGGUGGUGACUCGGACCAGGACGAUGGCGACCGCCGUGGCCGUGCCCGCCGCGUGCCACGCCGUCCCGGUGGUAAUGAUUCCUUUUCCAAGAUUAAAUUUAAAAUUCCACCUUUUAAUGGCAAAUAUGAUCCUGCUGCAUAUCUUGAUUGGGAAUUAGAAGUCGAACAGAAAUUUUCAUGCCAUGAUAUUCUUGCUAAUUCUCAAGUUAAAGCUGCUAUUAGUGAAUUUACUGAUUUUGCUUUAAUCUGGUGGCGUGAAUAUAAACACAAACAUCCCAAUACCAUUCCAACCACUUGGGAGCAAUUAAAAACUGCUAUGCGCCACAGAUUUGUGCCUUCUUAUUAUGCUCGCGAUUUGCUUAAUAAAAUGCAACGUUUUCAGCAAGGUUCCAAAUCUGUUGAGGAAUAUUUCCAGGAAUUACAAAUAGGCAUGAUUCGUUGUGGGUUAUUGGAGGAAAACGACGCUGCUAUGGCACGUUUUCGUGGUGGUUUGAACCGCGAAAUUCAGGAUAUACUUGAUUAUAAGGACUACACAGAUAUGACAACAUUAUUUGAAUAUGCUUGCAAAGCUGAACGUGAAGUGCAGGGACGCCGCUCGAAGACAUAUUCUAACUCUUUUGCAGGAAGAAGCUCGACAUCCAACUCCGUACCCGCUCUCCCUGCGCCACCCACGUCCACCACUACACCGCGCGAGCGAACGGCCAAACCUGCAAGCGCUCCCCCUUCCACAGGCGCCGCCCCUCCCACAGGCCGUACACGGGAUAUUCAGUGUCAUCGUUGCAAAGGAUUUGGCCAUGUGAUUCGGGACUGUCCGAACAAGCGCACUUUGCUUCUUCGUGACGAUGGUGAGUACUCUUCCGCUAGUGAUUCUGAAGAUACUCGACAUGCGAUGCUUGCCACUGACCAUGCAGCUAUGGAGGUACAUGUCAACCCGGGCGACGCCGAUAGGUAUGAAAGCCUUGUUGUGCAGCGUGUUCUUAGUACACAGGUCGCCCCGUCCGAGAAGAAUCAGCGACACACUCUUUUCCAUACCAAGGGCGUUGUGCAGGACCGGUCGAUUCGCAUCAUCAUCGACAGCGGCAGCUGCAACAAUUUGGCGAGUACCACGCUGGUUGAAAAGUUGUCUUUACCCACUCGUAAGCAUCCACAUCCAUAUCACAUUCAAUGGCUUAAUGAUGGUGGGAAAAUUAGAAUUACUCGAUCAGUCCGUGUUCCUUUCUCCAUGGGUGCUUAUUCUGAUUUUGUCGAUUGUGAUGUUAUUCCCAUGGAAGCAUGCUCUCUGUUACUUGGGCGACCUUGGCAAUAUGAUACUGAUAGCUUGCAUCAUGGUCGUUCAAAUCACUAUUCUUUCAUGUUUAAGGGUCAGAAAAUAAUUAUACAUCCAAUGACACCUGAACAAAUUCUUAAAGAUGAUCUUGCUAGAGCUGCUAAAACUGCUAAACAACUUGAACCAUCGACAUCUAUUAAUUCUGAAAUCAAGUUGAAUGCUCCUGUUUUGCUUGCCACACGUGCUGAUUUUGAUGAGUUACGCGAUGCUCCUUUGCCAUGCUAUGCCCUUAUAUGCUCUAGUGUGCUCGUUUCACUUGAUGAUGCACCAUCUUUGGAUAUUCCCCCUGCGGUUGCUAACAUUUUGCAGGAGUACGCUGAUGUCUUUCCAAAAGAUUUGCCACCGGGACUUCCACCACUUCGUGGCAUUGAGCACCAGAUCGACCUCAUUCCCGGCGCACAGCUUCCGAACCGUGCACCGUACCGUACAAAUCCGGAUGAGACGAAGGAAAUCCAGCGCCAGGUACAGGCGUUGCUUGACAAGGGUUAUAUUCGUGAGUCUCUUAGCCCUUGCUCCGUUCCUGUGUUACUUGUUCCAAAGAAAGAUGGCUCAUGGCGUAUGUGUGUAGACUGUCGUGCUAUUAAUAACAUUACCAUUCGCUACCGAUACCCUAUACCACGCCUUGAUGAUAUGCUAGAUGAGCUUAGUGGUGCCAUUAUUUUCACUAAGAUUGAUUUGCGUAGUGGCUACCAUCAGAUUCGCAUGAAAUUAGGUGAUGAAUGGAAAACGGCUUUUAAAACGAAAUUUGGGUUAUAUGAAUGGUUGGUUAUGCCGUUUGGCUUGACAAAUGCUCCCAGCACAUUUAUGCGUUUGAUGAAUGAAGUUCUGAGGCCCUUCAUAGGAUUGUUUGUAGUUGUCUAUUUUGAUGAUAUCCUCAUUUACAGCAAGUCUAUGGAAGAGCAUUUAGAACAUUUGCGUGCUGUUUUUGAUGCAUUGCGUGCGGCCCAUUUAUUUGCUAACCUCGAAAAAUGCAUGUUUUGCACACAACGUGUCUCGUUUCUUGGCUAUGUUGUUACUCCACAGGGCAUUGAGGUGGAUAGCAGCAAGAUUGAUGCCAUUCGGGAGUGGCCUACACCGACAACGGUCACACAAAUUCGAAGCUUUCUUGGCCUUGCAGGUUUCUACCGCCGGUUUGUUCGUGAUUUUAGCUCCAUUGCAGCGCCUCUACAUGAGCUUACAAAGAAGGAUGUUCCCUUUGCUUGGAGUGAUUCGCAAGAGGUUGCGUUCAGCACCUUGAAAGAUAAGUUAACCAAUGCUCCUCUCUUGCAGUUGCCUGAUUUUACUAAAGUGUUUGAGCUUGAAUGCGAUGCUAGCGGUAUUGGGCUAGGUGCUGUUUUGUUACAAGAAGGAAAACCGGUUGCUUACUUUAGUGAGAAAUUAAGUGGUGCUAGCUUGAAUUAUUCUACUUAUGAUAAGGAGCUUUAUGCUUUAGUGCGCACUUUGCAUACUUGGCAGCACUACCUUUGGCAUCGCGAGUUUAUAAUUCAUUCUGAUCAUGAGGCUUUAAAACAUAUUCGUACCCAAACAAACCUGAACCGUCGUCAUGCUAAAUGGGUAGAAUUCAUUGAGUCUUUCCCUUACAUUAUUAAACACAAGAGCGGGAAGGAAAAUGUCAUUGCUGAUGCUUUGUCUCGUCGCUAUACCAUGCUGUCACAGUUAGAUUUUAAAAUCUUUGGCUUGCAAACUGUGAAGGAUCAAUAUGUGGAUGAUGCUGAUUUUAAAGAUGCUUUCGCCCACUGUAUUCAUGGCAAACCAUGGGGCAAAUUUCACAUACAGGACGGGUUCCUGUUUCGCGCUAACAAGCUGUGUGUUCCAGCUAGCUCGGUUCGUCGUUUGUUGUUACAGGAAGCGCAUGGAGGCGGUCUCAUGGGGCACUUUGGCGUCUACAAGACGCAUGAAGUGCUGGCUGCCCACUUCUUUUGGCCCCGGAUGCGCGCUGAUGUUGAGCGCCUUGUUGCCCGCUGCACUACUUGCCAGAAAGCUAAGUCACGAUUAAACAACCAUGGUUUGUACAUGCCUUUGCCUGUUCCUACUUCCCCUUGGCUUGAUAUUUCUAUGGACUUUGUUUUGGGAUUGCCUAGAACUAAGAAGGGGAGGGACAGUAUUUUUGUGGUUGUUGAUCGUUUCUCCAAAAUGGCUCAUUUUAUACCUUGUCAUAAGACUGAUGAUGCUAGCAAUGUUGCUGAAUUGUUCUUUCGCGAGAUUAUUCAUUUGCAUGGUAUUCCAAAUACAAUAGUCUCUGAUCGUGAUGCUAAGUUUCUCAGUCAUUUUUGGAGAUCACUAUGGAAUAAAAUGGGAACUAAAUUGCUGUUUAGCACCACUUGUCACCCUCAGACUGAUGGACAAACUGAGGUGGUUAACCGAACCUUGUCCACCAUGCUUAGGGCUGUUUUAGAUAAACACUUGAAACGUUGGGAAGAUUGCUUGCCUCAUGUUGAGUUUGCUUAUAAUCAUGCAACGCAUUCUUCUACAAAGAUGUGUCCUUUUCAAGUUGUUUAUGGUUAUAUUCCUCGGGCGCCUAUUGAUUUGUUUGCACUUGAUGCCGAGGACACCCCACACAUAGAUGCCGCUGCACAUAUUGAUCAAAUGAUUAGCUUGCAUGAGCAAACUCAACAAAACAUUGCUGCUGCUAAUGCUAAAUAUCAGGUUGCGGGUAGUAAAGGGAGAAAACAUGUUACUUUUGCACCGGGUGAUCUGGUUUGGUUGCAUUUGAGGAAGGAUCGAUUUCCUACCUUACGUCGUUCUAAAUUGAUGCCACGUGCUGCUGGUCCUUUUAAAGUGCUAACCAAGAUUAAUGAUAAUGCUUAUAUCCUUGACCUGCCUGCGGAGUUUGGUGUUUCCACGAGUUUUAAUGUUGCAGAUUUGAAACCGUAUGUGGGCGAAGAUGAGGAGUUGCCGUCGUGGACGACUUCAGUUCAAGAAGGGGAGGAUGAUGAGGACACCACGAGUACAUCUACACCAGCAGCACCUCAGGCGCCUCCAGUUGCUCCUCCACCUCAGGCGCCUACAGUUGCUCAUCCAGUUGGGCCAAUCACUCGAGCCCGUGCGAGAGAAUUAAACUUCAUCAUGCUGUUAAGGAACGAAGGCCCAUCGGAAUAAGAAGAUGGCCCAACAGGGCAGCCCAGGUGGGGCGCCUAGGGUUGGGCGCCGUGACCCCUUCGGACUCCAGGGGCUGCGCCCCCUUUAUUUAGUCCGAGUCCUUUUUGUUUACGACUUGAGUUUUGUUUUACAUCUAGCUUUAGCUACUCUUGAACACGCGCAAAUACGCGCUGUCCUUGUGAUUCAGAACUCCACCUUCGAGUGAUAUUUAGAUUGCUCGCCUCUUGUUCUUGUUCGUUCUUCGAUUGCGGACAGGAAUCGAUCUUCGUGAUCAGGCUGAUCUCGCACCAGCGAGGUUGGUAACCAUCGGGAGUUGGUUCAGCGAUUGCAUUGGCGCUUCGGGUUCGCUCGUCGUAGUCGGAUCGUGAGGGUCUACUUCCACCAAGUCGAAUUUAUCUCCACUCACCGAAAGAUCGGGCACUCCGACUCUAUCAAAACGGGUGCAUUUCGGCACCCGAAUGCACUAUUGCCGGAGAGCGAAACUCGGGUGGAUUUUUUCGCAACGAACGCAUGCAAUCUUCCUAAAUAUGCACAAGAACAUGUUUGGGAGUGUUUUUGGGCAUUCGGUUCCGGCACGAAAAAUGAUGCAAAACGGGUGCAUUUCGGCACCCGAAUGCACUAUUGCCGGGGUAGCGAAACUCGGGUGGAUUUUUUCGCAACGAACGCAUGCAAUCUUCCUAAAUAUGCACUAGAACAUGUUUGGGAGUGUUUUUGGGCAUUCGGUUCCGGCACGAAAAACGAUGCAAAACGGGUGCAUUUCGGCACCCGAAUGCACUAUUGCCGGAGAGCGAAACUCGGGUGGAUUUUUUCGCAACGAACGCAUGCAAUCUUCCUAAAUAUGCACUAGAACAUGUUUGGGAGUGUUUUUGGGCAUUCGGUUCCGGCACGAAAAACGAUGCAAAACGGGUGCAUUUCGGCACCCGAAUGCACUAUUGCCGGAGAGCGAAACUCGGGUGGAUUUUUUCGCAACGAACGCAUGCAAUCUUCCUAAAUAUGCACAAGAACAUGUUUGGGAGUGUUUUUGGGCAUUCGGUUCCGGCACGAAAAAUGAUGCAAAACGGGUGCAUUUCGGCACCCGAAUGCACUAUUGCCGGGUAGCGAAACUCGGGUGGAUUUUUUCGCAACGAACGCAUGCAAUCUUCCUAAAUAUGCACUAGAACAUGUUUGGGAGUGUUUUUGGGCAUUCGGUUCCGGCACGAAAAACGAUGCAAAACGGGUGCAUUUCGGCACCCGAAUGCACUAUUACCGGAGAGCGAAACUCGGGUGGAUUUUUUCACAACGAACGCAUGCAAUCUUCCUAAAUAUGCACUAGAACAUGUUUGGGAGUGUUUUUGGCCAUUCGGUUCCGGCACGAAAAAUGAUGCAAAACGGGUGCAUUUCGGCACCCGAAUGCACUAUUGCUGGGUAGCGAAACUCGGGUGGAUUUUUUUGCAACGAACGCAUGCAAUCUUCCUAAAUAUGCACUAGAACAUGUUUGGGAGUGUUUUUGGGCAUUCGGUUGCGGCACGAAAAACGAUGCAAAACGGGUGCAUUUCGGCACCCGAAUGCACUAUUGCCGGGUAUCGAAACUCGGGUGGAUUUUUUCGCAACGAACGCAUGCAAUCUUCCUAAACAUGCACUAGAACAUGUUUGGGAGUGUUUAAGCAUUCGGUUCCGGCACGAAAAACGAUGCAAAACGGGUGCAUUUCGGCAUCCGAAUGCACUAUUGCCGGAGAGCGAAACUCGGGUGGAUUUUUUUGCAACGAACGCAUGCAAUCUUCCUAAAUAUGCACUAGAACAUGUUUGGGAGUGUUUUUGGCCAUUCGGUUGCGGCACGAAAAAUGAUGCAAAACGGGUGCAUUUCGGCACCCGAAUGCACUAUUGCCGGGUAGCGAAACUCGGGUGGAUUUUUUUGCAACGAACGCAUGCAAUCUUCCUAAAUAUGCACUAGAACAUGUUUGGGAGUGUUUUUGGGCAUUCGGUUCCGGCACGAAAAACGAUGCAAAACGGGUGCAUUUCGGCACCCGAAUGCACUAUUGCCGGAGAGCGAAACUCGGGUGGAUUUUUUCGCAACAAACGCAUGCAAUCUUCCUAAAUAUGCACUAGAACAUGUUUGGGAGUGUUUUUGGCCAUUCGGUUGCGGCACGAAAAAUGAUACAAAACGGGUGCAUUUCGGCACCCAAAUGCACUAUUGCCGGGUAGCGAAACUCGGGUGGAUUUUUUCGCAACGAACGCAUGCAAUCUUCCUAAAUAUGCACUAGAACAUGUUUGGGAGUGUUUUUGGGCAUUCGGUUCCGGCACGAAAAACGAUGCAAAAUGGGUGCAUUUUGGCACCCGAAUGCACUAUUGCCGGGUAGCGAAACUCGGAUAGAUUUUUUCGCAACGAACGCAUGCAAUCUUCCUAAAUAUGCACUAGAACAUGUUUGGGAGUGUUUUUGGGCAUUCGGUUCCGGCACGAAAAAUGAUGCAAAACGGGUGCAUUUCAGCACCCGAAUGCACUAUUGCCGGAGAGCGAAACUCGGGUGGAUUUUUUCGCAACGAACGCAUGCAAUCUUCCUAAAUAUGCACUAGAACAUGUUUGGGAGUGUUUUUGGUCAUUCGGUUGCGGCACGAAAAAUGAUGCAAAACGGGUGCAUUUCGGCACCCGAAUGCACUAUUGCCGGGUAGCGAAACUCGGGUGGAUUUUUUCGCAACGAACGCAUGCAAUCUUCGUAAAUAUGCACUAGAACAUGUUUGGGAGUGUUUUUGGCCAUUCGGUUCGUGCACGAAAAAUGAUGCAAAACGGGUGCAUUUCGGCACCCGAAUGCACUAUUGCCGGGUAGCGAAACUCGGGUGGAUUUUUUCGCAACGAACGCAUGCAAUCUUCCUAAAUAUGCACUAGAACAUGUUUGGGAGUGUUUUUGGGCAUUCGGUUCCGGCACGAAAAACGAUGCAAAACGGGUGCAUUUCGGCACCCGAAUGCACUAUUGCCGGAGAGCGAAACUCGGGUGGAUUUUUUCGCAACGAACGCAUGCAAUCUUCCUAAAUAUGCACUAGAACAUGUUUGGGAGUGUUUUUGGCCAUUCGGUUGCGGCACGAAAAAUGAUGCAAAACGGGUGCAUUUCGGCACCCGAAUGCACUAUUGCCGGGUAGCGAAACUCGGGUGGAUUUUUUCGCAACGAACGCAUGCAAUCUUCCUAAAUAUGCACAAGAACAUGUUUGGGAGUGUUUUUUGGGCAUUCGGUUCCGGCACGAAAAAUGAUGCAAAACGGGUGCAUUUCGGCACCCGAAUGCACUAUUGCCGGGUAGCGAAACUCGGGUGGAUUUUUUCGCAACGAACGCAUGCAAUCUUCCUAAAUAUGCACUAGAACAUGUUUGGGAGUGUUUUUGGCCAUUCGGUUCCGGCACGAAAAAUGAUGCAAAACGGGUGCAUUUCGGCACCCGAAUGCACUAUUGCCGGGUAGCAAAACUCGGGUGGAUUUUUUCGCAACGAACGCAUGCAAUCUUCCUAAACAUGCACUAGAACAUGUUUGGGAGUGUUUAAGCAUUCGGUUCCGGCACGAAAAACGAUGCAAAACGGGUGCAUUUCGGCAUCCGAAUGCACUAUUGCUGGGUAGCGAAACUCGGGUGGAUUUUUUCGCAACGAACGCAUGCAAUCUUCCUAAAUAUGCACUAGAACAUGUUUGGGAGUGUUUUUGGGCAUUCGGUUCCGGCACGAAAAACGAUGCAAAACGGGUGCAUUUCGGCACCCGAAUGCACUAUUGCCGGAGAGCGAAACUCGGGUGGAUUUUUUCGCAACGAACGCAUGCAAUCUUCCUAAAUAUGCACAAGAACAUGUUUGGGAGUGUUUUUGGGCAUUCGGUUCCGGCACGAAAAAUGAUGCAAAACGGGUGCAUUUCGGCACCCGAAUGCACUAUUGCCGGGUAGCGAAACUCGGGUGGAUUUUUUCGCAACGAACGCAUGCAAUCUUCCUAAAUAUGCACUAGAACAUGUUUGGGAGUGUUUUUGGGCAUUCGGUUCCGGCACGAAAAAUGAUGCAAAACGGGUGCAUUUCGGCACCCGAAUGCACUAUUGCCGGAGAGCGAAACUCGGGUGGAUUUUUUCGCAACGAACGCAUGCAAUCUUCCUAAAUAUGCACUAGAACAUGUUUGGGAGUGUUUUUGGCCAUUCGGUUCCGGCACGAAAAACGAUGCAAAACGGGUGCAUUUCGGCACCCGAAUGCACUAUUGCCGGAGAGCGAAACUCGGGUGGAUUUUUUUGCAACGAACGCAUGCAAUCUUCCUAAAUAUGCACUAGAACAUGUUUGGGAGUGUUUUUGGGCAUUCGGUUGCGGCACGAAAAACGAUGCAAAACGGGUGCAUUUCGGCACCCGAAUGCACUAUUGCCGGGUAUCGAAACUCGGGUGGAUUUUUUCGCAACGAACGCAUGCAAUCUUCCUAAACAUGCACUAGAACAUGUUUGGGAGUGUUUAAGCAUUCGGUUCCGGCACGAAAAACGAUGCAAAACGGGUGCAUUUCGGCAUCCGAAUGCACUAUUGCCGGAGAGCGAAACUCGGGUGGAUUUUUUUGCAACGAACGCAUGCAAUCUUCCUAAAUAUGCACUAGAACAUGUUUGGGAGUGUGAUGAGGACAUCACAUGCUCGGAUACAACCAUAUUGGCAUCUUUUAACUCCGAGGUAAAACAAUUCUUUAUCAUAAUUAUAUGUGAUACAUUUGAUGAAUUGAUGCUGCACCAUGAUGUGUAUUCGUUGUCAAUUUCAGAAAUACAUACAUGGAUCAAAAAUAGUGUUAAACACACAUGGAAGGCAUGGAGGACCAAAGAAGUAGAUUGGGGGCCAAUUCCAAGUAUUCCUAACGUCCUCCACCAGGCCACCACGUCACUUUUGGCCCAAGGAAAGAAAGAGAUCCAAUCCAACACGUUUUGGUGCUGGAUUCGGACUACAGUUCUGGCCCAACUUGCAAUGACUGCCACGACCUCAUCCGGACUCCGUUUUGGGCGUUCAAGUACUCCUUGGAAUCCUUAUGAAGUCUAUUUUCAUAUGGAUCCAGACUCAUGUCCAUAUAUAUUCUGAGGCGGCCGCAAUCAUCGAAAUACUACCGAGAGGUUUUCUGUCCACAGGUGCUGCGUCGCCCUAUUUUGGCCCGAUGGGCCGUGUAUCAAGUUGGGUCCAUUAGGGACGUGUCCUAGGGUUGGAGCACGACCCCAACACCCCCCUGGUCGUCCUCCUAGGUAUUAAUAAGGAUUAGAGCCGCCACGAACAGAUUGGGUUUUGUUUUGAUGUAAGUUUAGCCAUUGCUACUUCCUUGUAGACGUGUGUGUCGACUAGACCAUCCGUUCUACUCGAUUCGGAACCCCAACUUUGUGAUUUCAGAUUGGUUUUCAUCUCCAUAUUUGCAAUUGAGUUGCUUGUUAUACUUGUUCUUGCUAGUUCUUCGAUUGCUUGCAGGACGAGUGCCCUAGUGGCCGGGUGACGCGCUCCACAAGAUCGCGACAGCCAUUGGAGGUGGUGUAUCGGUUGCUAAGGCGCAGCUUGGAAGGCUGUAGUCGGGCCGUGAACGUCGUCUCCAUCCAACAAUCGAGUUAUCCACGCCUCUCUCAUCGAAAGAUCGGGAAUCAACCCUAGCGGGUUCAUAUCAGUUGGUAUCAGAGCAAGGUUUAUCGGUGAGAGACUUCUAGUUCUUUGCUGUUUUUAAUUUCCUAUAGUCCAGAAAAAGCCAAAAAAAUUAGUAGAUUAGUUUACUCGCAAUCCUAUAAACCCUUUGAGCCUUUGCUAGCACUGCUUAGUUAGGGCUUGUUGAGUUUUUGGUUGCAUCGGUUGUGUCGAGUUGCUGGUCUUAGUUUUAGUCCUUUAGAGUUUCGAGUUCUUGUCACGUUCUAGUCACAGCCGUGUGCUACCAUAUAAAACCUUUUGUUGGCUGAAUCUGAAUACAUAUUUGUGCUCAAGUCCGAGUAGGACUCUGAGUUUGUUUAAGACCGAAUCUCGCGUGGUGCUGAGUUCGAGUUGGAAUCGGUUUGGAGUCUGAAUUGACAGCUGCCUUGUUGCUAUCUUGAGUCCAAAUCUGAUUUCUAUCAUUUUGGCAAAAGUUUGUGUGGUGUGUGACUCUUGUGAAGUCCUUUUGUUCAUAUAAUCAGAUUUGAGGAUCCCCUGAAAAAAAAAAGAAGAAAAAAAAAACAGAAGAAAAAAAAGAAGAAAAGAAAGACAAAAAAAAAUAGGAAGAAAAGGGGCUGUUCGUUGUGCUUCCCUAUUGUUUUCCGGUGGUGUGUUGUGACUUCCUUUGUGUCCAGGCUCGCGUCUCUAGCACGGUCUAGGCUAGGACCAGCACAGUACCACAGUUGAACUAUUAUUCAGCUUGCUUUUGUGACUAACGUGGUGCUAGUAUAUUUCCUUGCUUAAGCCCACCUACAGCUCCACAUAUUCGACUACAGCUUGACAGGCUUUUGUUGCUGCGGCAUCGAUACACUUCACUCCACGGUUGCAGACUUGUUGGUUGCCGUCACCUCCUGUUUGGCUUGGUAAGAACUUGUAAGGGCUUGUUUUUACAAGUUGAGUUUGAGAGAAUUACAACCAACACAUCAUAGUAGUUGACAGGAGGAUACAUAUUAUUUUUGUGUUUCUUGUUUCCUACUAACCAUGGCAGGUGAUGCGGAGAUUUUGGAGCUGAUGAAACUAGACUCUCAUAUUCAGGGUGUUAUUCAACACUUGCCGUUAUAUGAUGGUAAGUUUGAUCCUAAAUCUUACAUUGAUUGGGAGAUAAAAGUAGAUAAUGAAUUUGAUGAGCAUGACCUGUCCGAGAAACAAAAGAUUUAUAUUGCCUCUAAUAUUUUGACUGAAUUUGCCUUGCUACAAUGGAAACACAUUUGUAGGCGUAAGAAACUUCUAGAAUCUUGGGAAGACUUCAAAUUUCUUUUUAGAGAUGCAUUCAUUCCUGAAUAUUAUGCUAAUUAUUUGCUUGCAAAAUUAGACAACUUGAGGCAAGGUAGUAGGACUGUGAAAGAAUACUUCCAUGAUUUUAAAAUUUGUAUCAUGUAUGGUGGAUUAGAUGAGUGCAUGGAAGAUGUUAUGUGUAGGUUCAUGAGAGGGCUCAAUUCUGAAAUUCAAACCUUGUUGCUAAGCAAAUCAUACAUACAUAUUGGUCAAUUGUUUUGCCUUGCUCUCAAUGCUGAAAAGGAGAUUCUAUUAUCUGUGAAUACUUGCAAGAAUGAUGUGACCCAUUAUAUCCAAAAUUUGUCCACUCUCGAUGUUAAUGAAGAGCAACAAAUAGUGGAACCCAUUGCUGAUUUUCCUUUGUCACAAAAUGAAUUACUUGCUGUUCCUUGUGAUAAAGAGGACUUGUGUGCUGAUGAUUCUUUUACUCCUAUACCACAAGUAGUGAAUAAGUGUGAUACUUUUGGUUUGGAAUCAUACAAAUGUGCUGAAGAUAAGCUUUUUCAUCCUAUUACUUGUGCACAAGAUGAACUGAAUUUGCUAUCCUCUUUAAAUACUUUGGGUUACAUUGAAUUUGAUGUUUUGUGUAAUCUAAAUUGUCUAAAAGAGAAACUUCAAUUUGGUUCUGGUUUGCCAAGUUUUAAUCAUUGUUCGUUUCAUGCAAUUGGCAAAUAUGAUAGCAAAGGAGAAUAUUUGGUGCAUAAAGUUUAUGUUUGCUCCACGCUGAAAUAUCCUUUUGGGCUACAAUACCAUGAUCAAAUAGAGGGCUGCACUAACACUAAUAAUGUCUUGCAAAGUUUUUCUAGUUUUUCCCAUAUGCAACAGGGUAAGACCAAAGAAAGGGAGCAUUACUGGUUGUGGCCAUGCAGCAUGGCCGUCGCUCCGUGCUCCAACAUCAAAACAAGCACCUUAGAAUGCCACUGGAGCAAGUCGAGGACGACUUGCAGCCAAGAAGGGGAGAAUGAUGAGGACAUCACAUGCUCGGAUACAACCAUAUUGGCAUCUUUUAACUCCGAGGUGAAACAAUUCUUUAUCAUAAUUAUAUGUGAUACAUUUGAUGAAUUGAUGCUGCACCAUGAUGUGUAUUCGUUGUCAAUUUCAGAAAUACAUACAUGGAUCAAAAAUAGUGUUAAACACACAUGGAAGGCAUGGAGGACCAAAGAAGUAGAUUGGGGGCCAAUUCCAAGUAUUCCUAACGUCCUCCACCAGGCCACCAAUUCCAAGUAUUCCAAGUAUUCCAAGUAUCAAAAAAAGAAGUUGAGUUUUUGGCCAUUCGGUUGCGGCACGAAAAAUGAUGCAAAACGGGUGCAUUUCGGCACCCGAAUGCACUAUUGCCGGGUAGCGAAACUCGGGUGGAUUUUUUUGCAACGAACGCAUGCAAUCUUCCUAAAUAUGCACUAGAACAGUUUGGGAGUGUUUUUGGGCAUUCGGUUCCGGCACGAAAAACGAUGCAAAACGAGUGCAUUUCGGCACCCGAAUGCACUAUUGCCGGAGAGCGAAACUCGGGUGGAUUUUUUCGCAACAAACGCAUGCAAUCUUCCUAAAUAUGCACUAGAACAUGUUUGGGAGUGUUUUUGGCCAUUCGGUUGCGGCACGAAAAAUGAUGCAAAACGGGUGCAUUUCGGCACCCAAAUGCACUAUUGCCGGGUAGCGAAACUCGGGUGGAUUUUUUCGCAACGAACGCAUGCAAUCUUCCUAAAUAUGCACUAGAACAUGUUUGGGAGUAUUUUUGGGCAUUCGGUUCCGGCACGAAAAACGAUGAAAAACGGGUGCAUUUCGGCACCCGAAUGCACUAUUGCCGGGGUAGCGAAACUCGGAUAGAUUUUUUCGCAACGAACGCAUGCAAUCUUCCUAAAUAUGCACUAGAACAUGUUUGGGAGUGUUUUUGGGCAUUCGGUUCCGGCACAAAAAAUGAUGCAAAACGGGUGCAUUUCGGCACCCGAAUGCACUAUUGCCUGAGAGCGAAACUCGGGUGGAUUUUUUCGCAACGAACGCAUGCAAUCUUCCUAAAUAUGCACUAGAACAUGUUUGGGAGUGUUUUUGGGCAUUCGGUUUCGGCACGAAAAAUGAUGCAAAACGGGUGCAUUUCGGCACCCGAAUGCACUAUUGCCGGGUAGCGAAACUUGGGUGGCUUUUUUCGCAACGAACGCAUGCAAUCUUCCUAAAUAUGCACUAGAACAUGUUUGGGAGUGUUUUUGGCCAUUCGGUUCCGGCACGAAAAAUGAUGCAAAACGGGUGCAUUUCGGCACCCGAAUGCACUAUUGCCGGGGUAGCGAAACUCGGGUGGAUUUUUUCGCAACGAACCCAUGCAAUCUUCCUAAAUAUGCACUAGAACAUGUUUGGGAGUGUUUUUGGGCAUUCGGUUCCGGCACGAAAAACGAUGCAAAACGGGUGCAUUUCGGCACCCGAAUGCACUAUUGCCGGGUAGCGAAACUCGGGUGGAUUUUUUCGCAACGAACGCAUGCAAUCUUCUUAAAUAUGCACAAGAACAUGUUUGGGAGUGUUUUUGGGUAUUCGGUUCCGGCACGAAAAAUGAUGCAAAACGGGUGCAUUUCGGCACCCGAAUGCACUAUUGCCGGGUAGCGAAACUCGGGUGGAUUUUUUCGCAACGAACCCAUGCAAUCUUCCUAAAUAUGCACAAGAACAUGUUUGGGAGUGUUUUUGGGCAUUCGGUUCCGGCACGAAAAACGAUGCAAAACGGGUGCAUUUCGGCACCCGAAUGCACUAUUGCCGGGUAGCGAAACUCGGGUGGAUUUUUUCGCAACGAACGCAUGCAAUCUUCCUAAAUAUGCACAAGAACAUGUUUGGGAGUGUUUUUGGGCAUUCGGUUCCGGCACGAAAAAUGAUGCAAAACGGGUGCAUUUCGGCACCCGAAUGCACUAUUGCCGGGUAGCGAAACUCGGGUGGAUUUUUUCGCAACGAACGCAUGCAAUCUUCCUAAAUAUGCACAAGAACAUGUUUGGGAGUGUUUUUGGGCAUUCGGUUCCGGCACGAAAAACGAUGCAAAACGGGUGCAUUUCGGCACCCGAAUGCACUAUUGCCGGGGUAGCGAAACUCGGGUGGAUUUUUUCGCAACAAACGCAUGCAAUCUUCCUAAAUAUGCACAAGAACAUGUUUGGGAGUGUUUUUGGCCAUUCGGUUGCGGCACGAAAAAUGAUGCAAAACGGGUGCAUUUCGGCACCCGAAUGCACUAUUGCCGGGUAGCGAAACUCGGGUGGAUUUUUUCGCAACGAACGCAUGCAAUCUUCCUAAAUAUGCACUAGAACAUGUUUGGGAGUGUUUUUGGCCAUUCGGUUCCGGCACGAAAAAUGAUGCAAAACGGGUGCAUUUCGGCACCCGAAUGCACUAUUGCCGGGUAGCGAAACUCGGGUGGAUUUUUUUGCAACGAACGCAUGCAAUCUUCCUAAAUAUGCACUAGAACAGUUUGGGAGUGUUUUUGGGCAUUCGGUUCCGGCACGAAAAACGAUGCAAAACGAGUGCAUUUCGGCACCCGAAUGCACUAUUGCCGGAGAGCGAAACUCGGGUGGAUUUUUUCGCAACAAACGCAUGCAAUCUUCCUAAAUAUGCACUAGAACAUGUUUGGGAGUGUUUUUGGCCAUUCGGUUGCGGCACGAAAAAUGAUGCAAAACGGGUGCAUUUCGGCACCCAAAUGCACUAUUGCCGGGGUAGCGAAUCUCGGGUGGAUUUUUUCGCAACGAACGCAUGCAAUCUUCCUAAAUAUGCACUAGAACAUGUUUGGGAGUAUUUUUGGGCAUUCGGUUCCGGCACGAAAAACGAUGAAAAACGGGUGCAUUUCGGCACCCGAAUGCACUAUUGCCGGGUAGCGAAACUCGGAUAGAUUUUUUCGCAACGAACGCAUGCAAUCUUCCUAAAUAUGCACUAGAACAUGUUUGGGAGUGUUUUUGGGCAUUCGGUUCCGGCACAAAAAAUGAUGCAAAACGGGUGCAUUUCGGCACCCGAAUGCACUAUUGCCUGAGAGCGAAACUCGGGUGGAUUUUUUCGCAACGAACGCAUGCAAUCUUCCUAAAUAUGCACUAGAACAUGUUUGGGAGUGUUUUUGGGCAUUCGGUUUCGGCACGAAAAAUGAUGCAAAACGGGUGCAUUUCGGCACCCGAAUGCACUAUUGCCGGGUAGCGAAACUUGGGUGGCUUUUUUCGCAACGAACGCAUGCAAUCUUCCUAAAUAUGCACUAGAACAUGUUUGGGAGUGUUUUUGGCCAUUCGGUUCCGGCACGAAAAAUGAUGCAAAACGGGUGCAUUUCGGCACCCGAAUGCACUAUUGCCGGGGUAGCGAAACUCGGGUGGAUUUUUUCGCAACGAACCCAUGCAAUCUUCCUAAAUAUGCACUAGAACAUGUUUGGGAGUGUUUUUGGGCAUUCGGUUCCGGCACGAAAAACGAUGCAAAACGGGUGCAUUUCGGCACCCGAAUGCACUAUUGCCGGGUAGCGAAACUCGGGUGGAUUUUUUCGCAACGAACGCAUGCAAUCUUCUUAAAUAUGCACAAGAACAUGUUUGGGAGUGUUUUUGGGUAUUCGGUUCCGGCACGAAAAAUGAUGCAAAACGGGUGCAUUUCGGCACCCGAAUGCACUAUUGCCGGGUAGCGAAACUCGGGUGGAUUUUUUCGCAACGAACCCAUGCAAUCUUCCUAAAUAUGCACAAGAACAUGUUUGGGAGUGUUUUUGGGCAUUCGGUUCCGGCACGAAAAACGAUGCAAAACGGGUGCAUUUCGGCACCCGAAUGCACUAUUGCCGGGUAGCGAAACUCGGGUGGAUUUUUUCGCAACAAACGCAUGCAAUCUUCCUAAAUAUGCACAAGAACAUGUUUGGGAGUGUUUUUGGCCAUUCGGUUGCGGCACGAAAAAUGAUGCAAAACGGGUGCAUUUCGGCACCCGAAUGCACUAUUGCCGGGUAGCGAAACUCGGGUGGAUUUUUUCGCAACGAACGCAUGCAAUCUUCCUAAAUAUGCACUAGAACAUGUUUGGGAGUGUUUUUGGCCAUUCGGUUCCGGCACGAAAAAUGAUGCAAAACGGGUGCAUUUCGGCACCCGAAUGCACUAUUGCCGGGUAGCGAAACUCGGGUGGAUUUUUUUGCAACGAACGCAUGCAAUCUUCCUAAAUAUGCACUAGAACAGUUUGGGAGUGUUUUUGGGCAUUCGGUUCCGGCACGAAAAACGAUGCAAAACGAGUGCAUUUCGGCACCCGAAUGCACUAUUGCCGGAGAGCGAAACUCGGGUGGAUUUUUUCGCAACAAACGCAUGCAAUCUUCCUAAAUAUGCACUAGAACAUGUUUGGGAGUGUUUUUGGCCAUUCGGUUGCGGCACGAAAAAUGAUGCAAAACGGGUGCAUUUCGGCACCCAAAUGCACUAUUGCCGGGUAGCGAAUCUCGGGUGGAUUUUUUCGCAACGAACGCAUGCAAUCUUCCUAAAUAUGCACUAGAACAUGUUUGGGAGUAUUUUUGGGCAUUCGGUUCCGGCACGAAAAACGAUGAAAAACGGGUGCAUUUCGGCACCCGAAUGCACUAUUGCCGGGUAGCGAAACUCGGAUAGAUUUUUUCGCAACGAACGCAUGCAAUCUUCCUAAAUAUGCACUAGAACAUGUUUGGGAGUGUUUUUGGGCAUUCGGUUCCGGCACAAAAAAUGAUGCAAAACGGGUGCAUUUCGGCACCCGAAUGCACUAUUGCCUGAGAGCGAAACUCGGGUGGAUUUUUUCGCAACGAACGCAUGCAAUCUUCCUAAAUAUGCACUAGAACAUGUUUGGGAGUGUUUUUGGGCAUUCGGUUUCGGCACGAAAAAUGAUGCAAAACGGGUGCAUUUCGGCACCCGAAUGCACUAUUGCCGGGGUAGCGAAACUUGGGUGGCUUUUUUCGCAACGAACGCAUGCAAUCUUCCUAAAUAUGCACUAGAACAUGUUUGGGAGUGUUUUUGGCCAUUCGGUUCCGGCACGAAAAAUGAUGCAAAACGGGUGCAUUUCGGCACCCGAAUGCACUAUUGCCGGGGUAGCGAAACUCGGGUGGAUUUUUUCGCAACGAACCCAUGCAAUCUUCCUAAAUAUGCACUAGAACAUGUUUGGGAGUGUUUUUGGGCAUUCGGUUCCGGCACGAAAAACGAUGCAAAACGGGUGCAUUUCGGCACCCGAAUGCACUAUUGCCGGGUAGCGAAACUCGGGUGGAUUUUUUCGCAACGAACGCAUGCAAUCUUCUUAAAUAUGCACAAGAACAUGUUUGGGAGUGUUUUUGGGUAUUCGGUUCCGGCACGAAAAAUGAUGCAAAACGGGUGCAUUUCGGCACCCGAAUGCACUAUUGCCGGGGUAGCGAAACUCGGGUGGAUUUUUUCGCAACGAACCCAUGCAAUCUUCCUAAAUAUGCACAAGAACAUGUUUGGGAGUGUUUUUGGGCAUUCGGUUCCGGCACGAAAAACGAUGCAAAACGGGUGCAUUUCGGCACCCGAAUGCACUAUUGCCGGGGUAGCGAAACUCGGGUGGAUUUUUUCGCAACGAACGCAUGCAAUCUUCCUAAAUAUGCACAAGAACAUGUUUGGGAGUGUUUUUGGGCAUUCGGUUCCGGCACGAAAAAUGAUGCAAAACGGGUGCAUUUCGGCACCCGAAUGCACUAUUGCCGGGUAGCGAAACUCGGGUGGAUUUUUUCGCAACGAACGCAUGCAAUCUUCCUAAAUAUGCACUAGAACAUGUUUGGGAGUGUUUUUGGCCAUUCGGUUCCGGCACGAAAAAUGAUGCAAAACGGGUGCAUUUCGGCACCCGAAUGCACUAUUGCCGGGUAGCGAAACUCGGGUGGAUUUUUUUGCAACGAACGCAUGCAAUCUUCCUAAAUAUGCACUAGAACAGUUUGGGAGUGUUUUUGGGCAUUCGGUUCCGGCACGAAAAACGAUGCAAAACAAGUGCAUUUCGGCACCCGAAUGCACUAUUGCCGGAGAGCGAAACUCGGGUGGAUUUUUUCGCAACAAACGCAUGCAAUCUUCCUAAAUAUGCACUAGAACAUGUUUGGGAGUGUUUUUGGCCAUUCGGUUGCGGCACGAAAAAUGAUGCAAAACGGGUGCAUUUCGGCACCCAAAUGCACUAUUGCCGGGUAGCGAAUCUCGGGUGGAUUUUUUCGCAACGAACGCAUGCAAUCUUCCUAAAUAUGCACUAGAACAUGUUUGGGAGUAUUUUUGGGCAUUCGGUUCCGGCACGAAAAACGAUGAAAAACGGGUGCAUUUCGGCACCCGAAUGCACUAUUGCCGGGUAGCGAAACUCGGAUAGAUUUUUUCGCAACGAACGCAUGCAAUCUUCCUAAAUAUGCACUAGAACAUGUUUGGGAGUGUUUUUGGGCAUUCGGUUCCGGCACAAAAAAUGAUGCAAAACGGGUGCAUUUCGGCACCCGAAUGCACUAUUGCCUGAGAGCGAAACUCGGGUGGAUUUUUUCGCAACGAACGCAUGCAAUCUUCCUAAAUAUGCACUAGAACAUGUUUGGGAGUGUUUUUGGGCAUUCGGUUUCGGCACGAAAAAUGAUGCAAAACGGGUGCAUUUCAGCACCCGAAUGCACUAUUGCCGGGUAGCGAAACUUGGGUGGCUUUUUUCGCAACGAACGCAUGCAAUCUUCCUAAAUAUGCACUAGAACAUGUUUGGGAGUGUUUUUGGCCAUUCGGUUCCGGCACGAAAAAUGAUGCAAAACGGGUGCAUUUCGGCACCCGAAUGCACUAUUGCCGGGUAGCGAAACUCGGGUGGAUUUUUUCGCAACGAACCCAUGCAAUCUUCCUAAAUAUGCACUAGAACAUGUUUGGGAGUGUUUUUGGGCAUUCGGUUCCGGCACGAAAAACGAUGCAAAACGGGUGCAUUUCGGCACCCGAAUGCACUAUUGCCGGGUAGCGAAACUCGGGUGGAUUUUUUCGCAACGAACGCAUGCAAUCUUCUUAAAUAUGCACAAGAACAUGUUUGGGAGUGUUUUUGGGUAUUCGGUUCCGGCACGAAAAAUGAUGCAAAACGGGUGCAUUUCGGCACCCGAAUGCACUAUUGCCGGGUAGCGAAACUCGGGUGGAUUUUUUCGCAACGAACCCAUGCAAUCUUCCUAAAUAUGCACAAGAACAUGUUUGGGAGUGUUUUUGGGCAUUCGGUUCCGGCACGAAAAACGAUGCAAAACGGGUGUAUUUCGGCACCCGAAUGCACUAUUGCCGGGUAGCGAAACUCGGGUGGAUUUUUUCGCAACGAACGCAUGCAAUCUUCCUAAAUAUGCACAAGAACAUGUUUGGGAGUGUUUUUGGGCAUUCGGUUCCGGCACGAAAAACGAUGCAAAACGGGUGCAUUUCGGCACCCGAAUGCACUAUUGCCGGGUAGCGAAACUCGGGUGGAUUUUUUCGCAACAAACGCAUGCAAUCUUCCUAAAUAUGCACUAGAACAUGUUUGGGAGUGUUUUUUGGCCAUUCGGUUGCGGCACGAAAAAUGAUGCAAAACGGGUGCAUUUCGGCACCCAAAUGCACUAUUGCCGGGUAGCGAAACUCGGGUGGAUUUUUUCGCAACGAACGCAUGCAAUCUUCCUAAAUAUGCACUAGAACAUGUUUGGGAGUGUUUUUGGGCAUUCGGUUCCGGCACGAAAAACGAUGAAAAACAGGUGCAUUUCGGCACCCGAAUGCACUAUUGCCGGGUAGCGAAACUCGGAUAGAUUUUUUCGCAACGAACGCAUGCAAUCUUCCUAAAUAUGCACUAGAACAUGUUUGGGAGUGUUUUUGGGCAUUCGGUUCCGGCACAAAAAAUGAUGCAAAACGGGUGCAUUUCGGCACCCGAAUGCACUAUUGCCUGAGAGCGAAACUCGGGUGGAUUUUUUCGCAACGAACGCAUGCAAUCUUCCUAAAUAUGCACUAGAACAUGUUUGGGAGUGUUUUUGGGCAUUCGGUUUCGGCACGAAAAAUGAUGCAAAACGGGUGCAUUUCGGCACCCGAAUGCACUAUUGCCGGGUAGCGAAACUUGGGUGGCUUUUUUCGCAACGAACGCAUGCAAUCUUCCUAAAUAUGCACUAGAACAUGUUUGGGAGUGUUUUUGGCCAUUCGGUUCCGGCACGAAAAAUGAUGCAAAACGGGUGCAUUUCGGCACCCGAAUGCACUAUUGCCGGGUAGCGAAACUCGGGUGGAUUUUUUCGCAACGAACCCAUGCAAUCUUCCUAAAUAUGCACUAGAACAUGUUUGGGAGUGUUUUUGGGCAUUCGGUUCCGGCACGAAAAACGAUGCAAAACGGGUGCAUUUCGGCACCCGAAUGCACUAUUGCCGGGUAGCGAAACUCGGGUGGAUUUUUUCGCAACGAACGCAUGCAAUCUUCUUAAAUAUGCACAAGAACAUGUUUGGGAGUGUUUUUGGGUAUUCGGUUCCGGCACGAAAAAUGAUGCAAAACGGGUGCAUUUCGGCACCCGAAUGCACUAUUGCCGGGUAGCGAAACUCGGGUGGAUUUUUUCGCAACGAACCCAUGCAAUCUUGCUAAAUAUGCACAAGAACAUGUUUGGGAGUGUUUUUGGGCAUUCGGUUCCGGCACGAAAAACGAUGCAAAACGGGUGCAUUUCGGCACCCGAAUGCACUAUUGCCGGGUAGCGAAACUCGGGUGGAUUUUUUCGCAACGAACGCAUGCAAUCUUCCUAAAUAUGCACAAGAACAUGUUUGGGUGUGUUUUUGGGCAUUCGGUUCCGGCACGAAAAAUGAUGCAAAACGGGUGCAUUUCGGCACCCGAAUGCACUAUUGCCGGGUAGCGAAACUCGGGUGGAUUUUUUCGCAACGAAUGCAUGCAAUCUUCCUAAAUAUGCACAAGAACAUGUUUGGGAGUGUUUUUGGGCAUUCGGUUCCGGCACGAAAAACGAUGCAAAACGGGUGCAUUUCGGCACCCGAAUGCACUAUUGCCGGGUAGCGAAACUCGGGUGGAUUUUUUCGCAAUGAACGCAUGCAAUCUUCCUAAAUAUGCACUAGAACAUGUUUGGGAGUGUUUUUGGGCAUUCGGUUGCGGCACGAAAAACGAUGCAAAACGGGUGCAUUUCGGCACCC